UACAGAGGGGGCAAGCGUUGUUCGGAACUACUGGGCGUAAAGGGCGCGUAGGCGGCCUGUUAAGUCGAACGUGAAAUCCCCAGGCUCAACCUGGGAACUGCGUCCGAUACUGGCAGGCUUGAAUCCGGGAGAGGGAUGUGGAAUUCCAGGUGUAGCGGUGAAAUGCGUAGAUAUCUGGAGGAACACCGGUGGCGAAGGCGGCAUCCUGGACCGGUAUUGACGCUGAGGCGCGAAAGCCAGGGGAGCAAACGGG
rnacentral:rRNA from 1 species